rnacentral:rRNA from 1 species
AGUGAACGCUGGCGGCAGGCCUAACACAUGCAAGUCGAACGGCAGCACAGUAAGAGCUUGCUCUUACGGGUGGCGAGUGGCGGACGGGUGAGGAAUACAUCGGAAUCUACUUUUUCGUGGGGGAUAACGUAGGGAAACUUACGCUAAUACCGCAUACGACCUACGGGGGAAAGCAGGGGAUCUUCGGACCUUGUGCGAUUGAAUGAGCCGAUGUCGGAUUAGCUAGUUGGCGGGGUAAAGGCCCACCAAGGCGACGAUCCGUAGCUGGUCUGAGAGGAUGAUCAGCCACACGGGAACUGAGACACGGUCCAGACUCCUACGGGAGGCAGCAGUGGGGAAUAUUGGACAAUGGGCGCAAGCCUGAUCCAGCCAUACCGCGUGGGUGAAGAAGGCCUUCGGGUUGUAAAGCCCUUUUGUUGGGAAAGAAAAGCAGCAGGUUAAUACCCCGCUGUUCUGACGGUACCCAAAGAAUAAGCACCGGCUAACUUCGUG